UCAUUUUUUUACACUGGUCCC
rnacentral:siRNA from 1 species